GUCACGUAAAGUUAAAACUUAUGGUUCUUUGCCUCUAAGGCUAGACGGUGUGGGCUUCGUCCCACCCCCGUCGUGGCCCGGCGUCGUUUAAUCUUCUGAUUUUUUAUGUUGAUUUUUGUUUUGCGGUUGUUGAUUUGUGUAAUUUGAUUGUGAGUUUGUUCAUUGUUGUAGUUGACUAAUAGAAAGAAGAUUUUGAGGUGAGUUUGGAUAUGGAGGAAGUGCAACAGCAGCAGCCGAAUGGAUCAGUAGGUCAAGAGGUGAAACUGAAAUCGCGCCUAAUGGUUCUUCUGAGACUCAUGGAGAGCCUCCUCAAAAUGCACUGCAGCAACUUACAGAUUACGCCUAAUAGGAAGCUGGUAACUCAAGCAAUCUUUAUGAAGACGGUUUGGAGACUAUGGGUCAAAUGAAACGAUAAAGUGUUUAAUCAGAAGCACAAGUCAGUCAACAUGUUACUGGAGGAAAUUAAGAGCGGAUCCUACUGGUGGAUGGCGAAGAGAUGCAGAAUUGGUAGCCUAAGCAUGGAGAACUGGAGCGAUUUUGACAAUUUAGAUUUUGGAUGAAUUUCUGGUGUAUUUUUUGUUUUUGGUUGUGCUUGGUGUAUGUUUUUUUUAUUAAGUCUAUGUUUUUUUAUUAA